rnacentral:rRNA from 1 species
CUCUGUGACUCCUACGGGAGGCAGCAGUGGGGAAUAUUGCACAAUGGGCGCAAGCCUGAUGCAGCAACGCCGUGUGAGUGAAGAAGGUUUUCGGAUCGUAAAACUCUGUCCUAAGGGAAGAAAAAAUGACGGUACCUUAGGAGGAAGCCCCGGCUAACUACGUGCCAGCAGCCGCGGUAAUACGUAGGGGGCAAGCGUUAUCCGGAAUCACUGGGCGUAAAGGGUGCGUAGGCGGCUUGACAAGCCAGGGGUGAAAGGCAUUGGCUCAACCAAUGUAAGCCUUUGGAACUGUUAAGCUUGAGUGCAGGAGAGGUAAGUGGAAUUCCUAGUGUAGAGGUGAAAUUCGUAGAUAUUAGGAGGAACACCAGUGGCGAAGGCGACUUACUGGACUGUAACUGACGCUGAUGCACGAAAGCGUGGGUAGCGAACAGGAUUAGAUACCCUGGUAG